rnacentral:rRNA from 1 species
AUGGCUCAGAGCGAACGCUGGCGGCAGGCCUAACACAUGCAAGUCGAACGCCUGUAGCAAUACAGGAGUGGCAGACGGGUGAGUAACACGUGGGAACGUGCCCUUCGGUUCGGAAUAACUCAGGGAAACUUGGGCUAAUACCGGAUACGUCCGCGAGGAGAAAGAUUCAUCGCCGAAGGAUCGGCCCGCGUCCGAUUAGCUAGUUGGUGGGGUAAUGGCCCACCAAGGCGACGAUCGGUAGCUGGUCUGAGAGGAUGAUCAGCCACACUGGGACUGAGACACGGCCCAGACUCCUACGGGAGGCAGCAGUGGGGAAUAUUGGACAAUGGGCGCAAGCCUGAUCCAGCCAUGCCGCGUGGGUGAUGAAGGCCCUAGGGUUGUAAAGCCCUUUCGGCGGGGAAGAUAAUGACGGUACCCGCAGAAGAAGCCCCGGCUAACUUCGUGCCAGCCGCAGC